rnacentral:rRNA from 1 species
GAUGAACGCUGGCGGCGUGCCUAAUACAUGCAAGUCGAGCGAACGGACGAGAAGCUUGCUUCUCUGAUGUUAGCGGCGGACGGGUGAGUAACACGUGGAUAACCUACCUAUAAGACUGGGAUAACUUCGGGAAACCGGAGCUAAUACCGGAUGAUAUUUUGAACCGCAUGGUUCAAAAGUGAAGGACGGUCUUGCUGUCACUUAUAGAUGGAUCCGCGCUGCAUUAGCUAGUUGGUAAGGUAACGGCUUACCAAGGCAACGAUGCAUAGCCGACCUGAGAGGGUGAUCGGCCACACUGGAACUGAGACACGGUCCAGACUCCUACGGGAGGCAGCAGUAGGGAAUCUUCCGCAAUGGGCGAAAGCCUGACGGAGCAACGCCGCGUGAGUGAUGAAGGUCUUCGGAUCGUAAAACUCUGUUAUUAGGGAAGAACAUAUGUGUAAGUAACUGUGCACAUCUUGACGGUACCUAAUCAGAAAGCCACGGCUAACUACGUG